rnacentral:lncRNA from 1 species
AAAUUUGCGACCUCAAUGGCUAAGUAUAUCCGUUAUCAAGCUGACAAUGGUGCUCAAGCAGUACAGAUCUUUGAUUCAUGGGCCACAGAGCUAAGCCCAGUCGAUUUUGAAGAGUUCAGUUUGCCUUACUUAAAACAGAUAGUUGAAUCAGUGAAACUAACCCAUCCUGAUCUCCCGCUGAUUCUUUUGAGUUCAGUUUGCCUUACUUACAACAGAUAGUUGAAUCAGUGAAACUAACCCAUCCUGAUCUUCCACUGAUUCUUUAUGCGAGUGGAUCAGGUGGCUUGCUUGAGAGACUACUCUUGACAGGGGUAGAUGUGGUCAGC